CGUAGGUGGCAAGCGUUAUCCGGAUUUAUUGGGCGUAAAGGGAACGCAGGCGGUUUUUAAGUCUGAUGUGAAAGCCUUCAGCUUAACCGGAGAAUAGCAUUGGAAACUGGAAGACUUGAGUGCAGAAGAGGAGAGUGGAAUUCCAUGUGUAGCGGUGAAAUGCGUAGAUAUAUGGAGGAACACCAGUGGCGAAAGCGGCUCUCUGGUCUGUAACUGACGCUGAGGUUCGAAAGCGUGGUAGCAAACAGGAUU
rnacentral:rRNA from 1 species